GACUGAAGAGGAGCAGUAGUCCUCAUCCCAGAGCACCAGAUGUUGGAAGGUGACUAAGCGGUAUCUGGGAGAGCAUCACGACCUGUGCAGACUCCCCAGCAUCAUAACAGGAAGGUCCCACGAUCACGAGCACAUUGCCUUCAGCAUCCAGCACUGAAUAUGGUGAAUUGCACUCUGAAGAGCUUCCUAAGCUUGUAAGAAAGUGAUUCUGAAAAGCUCAACAUUUUGGUAGAAUGGAGAGAUUUGACAUUGCUUCUGCUCCAAAAGCAAAAGACUUGGGAAGGGCACCCUGGGAGUUGAGAACAUCCACCACAGAGAGGCCUGGCGUAAAGGAGAUGGGACUCACACCCAAGAGGAUGCAUUUCCAUACACCCAUUUCUGAAAUAUGAAGAGGUGUCCAGUCUGUUUGAUUCAUAGCUGCCUGUUCCACAACUGCAGAUACAGUAAUUGAUAACCGAGACCAAGUUCUCAUCCCCAUCUCCCAGGGCUGGAACUGGGGCUGUGUUUGGUUCUCAUAAGAUCAGUUCCAGUUUUAGAAACUGAGUAAAUUGUGGAGUAAAUAUUGCCAAGUGAUGGCU
rnacentral:lncRNA from 10 species